rnacentral:rRNA from 1 species
UACGUAGGGUGCGAGCGUUGUCCGGAAUUAUUGGGCGUAAAGAGCUCGUAGGCGGCUUGUCGCGUCGGAUGUGAAAGCCCGGGGCUUAACUCCGGGUCUGCAUUCGAUACGGGCAGGCUAGAGUUCGGUAGGGGAGACUGGAAUUCCUGGUGUAGCGGUGAAAUGCGCAGAUAUCAGGAAGAACACCAAUGGCGAAGGCAGCUCUCUGGGACGGUACUGACGCUGAGACGCGAAAGCGUGGGGAGCGAACAGG